UUUCCGUAGGUGAACCUACGGAAGGAUCAUUCAUAAUAAAGUGUUUUAUGGCACUUUUUAAAAAUCCAUAUCCACCUUGUGUGCAAUGUUAGAUCUCGUCAAUCUUGGCGAGAUUUUUAUACAUCAACUCAUUCUUUAACUAAUUUGUCUGAAAAAUAUUAUGAAUACUUAAUUCAAGAUACAACUUUCAACAACGGAUCUCUUGGCUCUC
rnacentral:misc_RNA from 1 species